AGAGUUUGAUUAUGGCUCAGAAUGAACGCUGGCGGCAUGCCUAACACAUGCAAGUCGAACGAAGGCUUCGGCCUUAGUGGCGCACGGGUGCGUAACGCGUGGGAAUCUGCCCCUUGGUUCGGAAUAACAGUUAGAAAUGACUGCUAAUACCGGAUGAUGACGUAAGUCCAAAGAUUUAUCGCCGAGGGAUGAGCCCGCGUAGGAUUAGCUAGUUGGUGUGGUAAGAGCGCACCAAGGCGACGAUCCUUAGCUGGUCUGAGAGGAUGAUCAGCCACACUGGGACUGAGACACGGCCCAGACUCCUACGGGAGGCAGCAGUGGGGAAUAUUGGACAAUGGGCGAAAGCCUGAUCCAAGCAAUGCCGCGUGAGUGAUGAAGGCCUUAGGGUUGUAAAGCUCUUUUACCCGGGAUGAUAAUGACAGUACCGGGAGAAUAAGCUCCGGCUAACUCCGUGCCAGCCGCUGC
rnacentral:rRNA from 1 species